GUGCUCACUUCAGCAGCACAUAUACUAAAAUUGGAAUGAUACAGAGAAGAUUAGCAUGUGCAAGGAUGACAUGGAAAUUUGUGAAGCAUUCCAUAUUAAA
ensembl:snRNA U6 U6 spliceosomal RNA